rnacentral:tRNA from 1 species
GGCGAGAUGGCCGAGCGGUCUCAGGCGCUGGUUUAAGGCGCCAGUCUCUUCGGAGGCGUGGGUUCGAAUCCCACUCUCGUCA